UAAUACAGAGGGUGCGAGCGUUAAUCGGAAUUACUGGGCGUAAAGGGUGCGUAGGUGGUUUAAUAAGUCAGAUGUGAAAUCCCCGGGCUCAACCUGGGAACUGCAUUUGAAACUAUUAGACUAGAGUACGGUAGAGGGAAGUGGAAUUUCCGGUGUAGCGGUGAAAUGCGUAGAUAUCGGAAGGAACAUCAGUGGCGAAGGCGACUUCCUGGACCGCAACUGACACUGAGGCACGAAAGCGUGGGGAGCAAACAGGAUUAGAUACCCUGGUAGUCCACGCCCUAAACGAUGAGAACUAGAUGUUAGGGGGCUUGUCCUCUUAGUAUUGCAGCUAACGCGUUAAGUUCUCCGCCUGGGGAGUACGGCCGCAAGGUUA
rnacentral:rRNA from 1 species